rnacentral:rRNA from 1 species
GACGAACGCUGGCGGCGUGCCUAAUACAUGCAAGUCGAACGAAGAGCGAUGGAAGUUGGCUUCUAUCAAUCUUCGUCGCGAAGGUGUGUGUAACGUGGAAUCAACCUCUCUUACAGAGGGAGACAAUAGGGGGACACGACCUCUUAUCGCAUAUACGAUCUAAUCUCGGCAUCGAGGAUAGAUGGAUGGUAGUGCCUACAUGUAAGCUAACACCGCAGUUGGUUAGUGCGUUUGAUAAGCUAGUUGGGGGGGUAACGGCCCACCAAGGCGAUGAUCAGUAGCCGGUCUGAGAGGAUGAACGGCCACAUUGGGACUGAGACACGGCCCAAACUCCUACGGGAGGCAGCAGUAGGGAAUCUUUCGCAAUGGACGAAAGUCUGACGGAGCAACGCCGCGUGAGUGAUGAAGGCUUUCGGGUUGUAAAGCUCUGUUAAUCGGGAAGAAAGGUGUUCUGGCGAAAAGGGAGAAGGAUUGACGGUACCUAAAUAGAAAGCCACGGCUAACUACGUG